rnacentral:rRNA from 1 species
CAGUGAGAUUUUUAAACGGCCGCGUUAGCGUGAGCGUGCUAAGGUAGCGUAAUAAAUAGCCUUUUAAUUGGAGGCCAGUGAAAGGCAAGACUAGGGACACCUGUACCAUAUAUGAAAAAACAACUUUUCGUCUGAGUGAAAAGACCCAGAUAAUAAGGGAAGACGAAAAGACCCCGCGGAACUUUACCUUUUCUUAGUCUCCAAAUGCUCAGAAACAAAAAAACAAAAGGUUUGAUUGGGGCAAUCUCGGAACCACCCAAACUUCCGACCUACAAACAAAAGUAUAGAAAACUUAGUAAGGACCAAAAAGAAGUUACCCCGGGGAUAACAGCGUAAUCUAAUUUGAGAGUACAUAUCGAAAAUUGGGUUUGCGACCUCGAUGUUGGCUUAAGGAUAUCCACAUAAGUGCAACCGCUAUGAUUGGACAGUCAGUGC